UAAGCAGCUUCACUGCUCCCUCCUCCCACAGGGCUUUUUUUUCAACUAUCUUUAUUGACCUCUCUAAUACAUCACAAUUCUGUUUUCCGGCCUUCUGAUUGGUUUUUCGUUGCAUGUGACAAGGAGGUGGCUGAGACGCGUCAUUAGACUGCAGCCAUGAACCAGGAGAGCAGCUUCAGAGCCCGUUACAGCGAUAAAUAGCUGCAAUUGCUUUCCUAAUAGCCUGGACUGGAUAUCUGUUUUGGAGGAAGCCCAUCUGAUUAGAGGUGCAUCUAGGAUUUCCCUAUCCUGGACAGAAAGCUUAUUCAGAUGAGCUUCUUGGUGAAACUUAAGGCCAUUUUCUGGGGAUUUGAGAGUCCGUUGAUAAAGUUUUUUGAAGUGAGAUGUGAUCACGUUUGUGAUAUCUUUUGUACUAUGAGCCCAUCCUGUGGGAGUUUUGAGUUUCUGGAUAAAAGUAUUGGACUGUUGUCUUUUGACUAAAUUUGCUAAUAGUUUGCCCGAUUUGUUUCCCCAUCGAUAAUAUCUAUUGUGGCUCAAUUUAUGUGGCAUCUAUUCAGUCAAUAAAGUAUUGAAAAGCGCCUUUGUAUUUUUUCUUUGCUAUUGCCGAAUUAGUAGAUUUAAACUUUUUAUAAGCCUGCGUGAGUUCUUUUUGUAACAACCGGUACUUUUCACUAAAGGACCUCUUCCGCUUGAUCAGCUAAUAUGAUGUGGCCUCGUAACACUGGUUUGGCUUCUGCCCAUAGUAAGUUUUUGUCAUCCCAAUGGGCUAGAUUGUCAUCAAUA